CUAUUUUGUCUCUACUGAAAUCUAAAAAUAUAUCCUUACCUAAUAACUUUUGGCAAAUCUUUUCUGUCAUAGAUGCGUAUGUUUGUUCAAAGGUUUUAGUUAUGUAGGUUGGUUGAGAUGUUUAUUGCUUCUGGAAUCAAAAUUGAUGGCGACCUGUCUUUUUCCUGGCUAAUGUUUGCUAAGAUUAGCUUUUCUAGCUUUCCUUCUAAUAGGGAUUACUUUCUAGCUGCUGAAUGUAGCAUAAUCCUGUUUUGAUAGUUUAAGCUGCUAAUUAGUGUUAGCUUUCCAUUUUAUCUACAUUACAAUCUAACCACCAUCUAGAUAAAAUGGUAGCAUAAAUGUAGAUAAAAUGGUAGCAUGUAGCAUAGCUAAGUAACAGCUGGCUGGCUAAUGUUAGCUUGUUACCUUGCUGCUGUAAUGGAGCAAUGUACUGUCUUGGUAGAGCUGUUCUUUAGCUAAAUUGUAAAAUUUCUUCACCAGGUUUCAUGAAUCACAUAUAUUUCAUGAAAGAAUAUUAAUUUUAUAAUAAAUGGAUAAGUACGUAGCCCAACGGUCCCCGACCUUUUUUGCGACAUGGAUCAGUUUAUGUCCGACAAUAUUUUCACGGACUGGCUUUUAAGGUGUCCCGAAUAAAUACAACAAAAUAAAACCAGUACUGGUACCAAAAAAAGAAGAUUUAUUCAUAACACAUGAGAAAAGAGCCAGGGAAACUGAGUUAACAAUAAAAUAAAUAAAUAAAAAAAAAUGCUAAAACCGAGAAAAACCCAGAAAACCAUGAAUUUCACACCCAAGCUUCAACUCUUGCGGACCAGUACCAAACAACUCACGGACCUGUACUGGUCCGUGGCCCAGGGGUUGGGGACCGCUGACGUGGCCUAUAUACAUUUUUCUGCUCUGAGUUAGCCAACAAUAAAUGUUGUAACUGUAUAAAUCCCAGAAAGAAAAAUCUGUUCAUCUGGACUUUGUAUUUUCAGUUGAAGAAAAUGCAAUGUCCAGAUGAACAUAAUCAGCUUUCUGGGAUUUCCUUUCCGGGAUGACUGAACGUGCCUCACAUCUUUAGCUAAUGAUUGCUUUCCACAGUAGAGGUUUAAAGAGCAAUUCAAGGCAGGGUUGGUUGACUGAUUAGCAUGAAUGUAGCCC
ensembl:lncRNA